GGGGGGGGUGUUGUGGUGUGUGGGAUGGUGGGAAGCAAAAGAUAAGGGAAAUUGAUUAAGGCUUCUAAAUAAGCAGAUGCUACUAUUGCACCAAACUUGUGUGCUGGGCAUCUGCCAUCAUUAUUGUAUUCGAUUAUUAUUCAUAAAUAAAAUCAAUUCUUUCCUAUUUCCAUCAUCUACCUCUGUUGCUGAAGCCACCUUCAAUUCAUUUCUUUGCUUGGGUGGUUUGGCACCUUUGCUUAAGAAACUUGUUCUCUAUGCAAACUUGUGAAAAUUGGCUAAAGAUAAUGCCUGUAGAAGCUUACCAGGUUCUAUUUCAUUACUGAUAUUUGAAAAUGACUAAUUUGAAAGAACUAUAAUAACAAAACUCGUAAAGAAAAUUUCAUUAAAAGAUGCUCUGGUAGAUAAACGAAGCUCACUUUCUCAGAUUAAAAGGAAAAAGAGGAGAGUCGAGGGAAGUCUUGACCAUUAUAAUACUAACUCUAUCUAUUUUGUUUAUGUGUGUGACCCCAAAGAAAAAAAAAGGUGAUUGCACACAGGCAUAUGUGCUUCUUCACUUACAUAGCUAAUAGAUUUCAUUUGUAUCUAAUAAGCUUUGUUUAAAGUGUUUUGGGAGGUUGGUUCUGUUGGUUUUGCAGUAGGGACCACGAAAUGGGAUUGCAGCAACAGAAAGUUUGAGUUUGGUGAGAUGGUUUGUUUUUGGUUGAUAGCAAUGCAAAUGUUGUUGAAUGGGCAUGAAAUUCAAAUUCAAGAACUGAAAUCAGAAAGUAAAUGGUUAGAGGAUGAGAAGGAUGCAAUAUAGCUCCUGAGCUCGUUGGCCAGAAUCUUUAUACAAUCACAUGCAUAGAACAUAUCCCCUCCUUUUCUUGAGGGUGCAGGUAUGCAUGAAUUAAACUGUCAUAGGAGAAUUCAAAAGUUGAUACCACAGAUUAAAGUACUGAAUACAUAGCUUUGCCUUACAAAUCAUCUGUAAACACUUGAAUUUUUUUAUUUUUUGUCUAAAUCAGCCAUAAUUUUUCCAUCUUUUUUUGUUCUGAAUACAUAGCAUUGCCUACUUGUUUUGGUUAAGCUGUUAGUGAUAGCUGGUGAAAGUAUGUAUAAUUGACAUCUAUCUCAAAUGGAUCUUAAGUGAG
rnacentral:misc_RNA from 1 species